ACGGGUGAGUAACGCGUAGGUAACCUACCUAUUGUUGGGGAAUAACAGUUCGAAAGGGCUGCUAAUACCGCAUAAUGCAGCGGAUCCGCAUGGAUAUGUUGUUAAAGCUUUGGCGACAAUAGAUGGGCCUGCGUGCCAUUAGCUAGUUGGUAAGGUAACGGCUUACCAAGGCCAUGAUGGCUAGCUGGUCUGAGAGGAUGAUCAGCCACACGGGGACUGAGACACGGCCCCGACUCC
rnacentral:rRNA from 1 species